UACGGAGGGUGCAAGCGUUAUCCGGAUUCACUGGGUUUAAAGGGUGCGUAGGAGGGCAGGUAAGUCAGUGGUGAAAUCCCCGAGCUUAACUUGGGAACUGCCGUUGAUACUAUCUGUCUUGAAUAUUGUGGAAGUGAGCGGAAUAUGUCAUGUAGCGGUGAAAUGCUUAGAUAUGACAUAGAACACCAAUUGCGAAGGCAGCUCGCUACACAUAUAUUGACUCUGAGGCACGAAAGCGUGGGGAUCAAACAGG
rnacentral:rRNA from 1 species